UGGGGAAUAUUGGACAAUGGGGGGAACCCUGAUCCAGCCAUGCCGCGUGUGUGAAGAAGGCCUUAUGGUUGUAAAGCACUUUAAGCGAGGAGGAGGGUACUGGUAUUAAUACUACCAGGUACUGGACGUUACUCGCAGAAUAAGCACCGGCUAACUCUGUGCCAGCAGCCGCGGUAAUACAGAGGGUGCGAGCGUUAAUCGGAUUUACUGGGCGUAAAGCGUGCGUAGGCGGCUAAUUGAGUCGGAUGUGAAAUCACCGAGCUUAACUUGGGAAUUGCAUUCGAUACUGGUUAGCUAGAGUGUGGGAGAGGAUGGUAGAAUUCCAGGUGUAGCGGUGAAAUGCGUAGAGAUCUGGAGGAAUACCGAUGGCGAAAGCAGCCAUCUGGCCUAACACUGACGCUGAGGUACGAAAGCAUGGGGAGCAAACAGG
rnacentral:rRNA from 1 species